rnacentral:rRNA from 1 species
UACGUAGGCAGCGAGCGUUUGUUCGGAAUUACUGGGCGUAAAGAGUGUGUAGGCGGUGCUCUAAGUUCGGUGUGAAAUCUCCUGGCUCAACUGGGAGGGUGCGCCGGAAACUGGAAUGCUUGAACAUGGGAGAGGAAAGCGGAAUUCCUGGUGUAGCGGUGAAAUGCGUAGAUAUCAGGAGGAACACCUGCGGUGUAGACGGCUUUCUGGACCAUUGUUGACGCUGAGACACGAAAGCGUGGGUAGCAAACAGG